rnacentral:rRNA from 1 species
GACGAACGCUGGCGGCGUGCUUAACACAUGCAAGUCGAACGGAAAGGCCCUGCUUUUGUGGGGUGCUCGAGUGGCGAACGGGUGAGUAACACGUGAGUAACCUGCCCUUGUCUGUGGGAUAACUUCAGGAAACUGGGGCUAAUACCGGAUAGGAGCUCCUGCUGCAUGGUGGGGGUUGGAAAGAUGCGGCGGUUGGGGAUGGAGUGGCGGCUUAUCAGCUGGAUGGUGGGGUAGUGGCUUACCACGGCUUUGACGGGUAGCCGGCCUGAGAGGGUGAACAGCCACAUUGGGACUGCGAUACGGACCAGAAUCGUACGUGCGGCAGCAGUCGAGAGUAUUGCACAAUGGGCGGAAGCCUGAGGCAGCAACGUCGGGUGCGUGAUGCUGGCCUUUGGGUUGUAAACCGCUUUCGCAUGUGACGAAGCGGGAGUGACGGUAAUGGGUAAAGAAGCACCGGCUAACUACGUG